rnacentral:rRNA from 1 species
AGAGUUUGACCAUGGCUCAGAUUGAACGCUGGCGGAAUGCUUUACACAUGCAAGUCGAACGGCAGCAUAGGUGCUUGCACCUGAUGGCGAGUGGCGAACGGGUGAGUAAUACAUCGGAACGUGCCCAGUCGUGGGGGAUAACGUAGCGAAAGUUACGCUAAUACCGCAUACGAUCUACGGAUGAAAGCGGGGGACCGUAAGGCCUCGCGCGAUUGGAGCGGCCGAUGUUAGAUUAGGUAGUUGGUGGGGUAAAGGCUCACCAAGCCGACGAUCUAUAGCUGGUCUGAGAGGAUGAUCAGCCACACUGGGACUGAGACACGGCCCAGACUCCUACGGGAGGCAGCAGUGGGGAAUUUUGGACAAUGGGCGCAAGCCUGAUCCAGCCAUUCCGCGUGCAGGACGAAGGCCUUCGGGUUGUAAACUGCUUUUGUACAGAACGAAAAGCUCUGAGUUAAUACCUCGGGGUCAUGACGGUACUGUAAGAAUAAGCACCGGCUAACUACGUGCCAGCAGCCGCGGUAAU